UUACUGGGCGUAAAGCGCAUGCAGGUGGUUUGUUAAGUCAGAUGUGAAAGCCCGGGGCUCAACCUCGGAAUUGCAUUUGAAACUGGCAGACUAGAGUACUGUAGAGGGGGGUAGAAUUUCAGGUGUAGCGGUGAAAUGCGUAGAGAUCUGAAGGAAUACCGGUGGCGAAGGCGGCCCCCUGGACAGAUACUGACACUCAGAUGCGAAAGCGUGGGGAGCAAACAGGAUUAGAUACCCUGGUAGUCCACGCCGUAAACGAUGUCUACUUGGAGGUUGUGGCCUUGAGCCGUGGCUUUCGGAGCUAACGCGUUAAGUAGACCGCCUGGGGAGUACGGUCGCAAGAUUAAAACUCAAAUGAAUUGACGGGGGCCCGCACAAGCGGUGGAGCAUGUGGUUUAAUUCGAUGCAACGCGAAGAACCUUACCUACUCUUGACAUCCAGAGAACUUUCCAGAGAUGGAUUGGUGCCUUCGGGAACUCUGAGACAGGUGCUGCAUGGCUGUCGUCAGCUCGUGUUGUGAAAUGUUGGGUUAAGUCCCGCAACGAGCGCAACCCUUAUCCUUGUUUGCCAGCGAGUAAUGUCGGGAACUCCAGGGAGACUGCCGGUGAUAAACCGGAGGAAGGUGGGGACGACGUCAAGUCAUCAUGGCCCUUACGAGUAGGGCUACACACGUGCUACAAUGGCGCAUACAGAGGGCAGCCAACUUGCGAGAGUGAGCGAAUCCCAAAAAGUGCGUCGUAGUCCGGAUCGGAGUCUGCAACUCGACUCCGUGAAGUCGGAAUCGCUAGUAAUCGUGGAUCAGAAUGCCACGGUGAAUACGUUCCCGGGCCUUGUACACACCGCCCGUCACACCAUGGGAGUGGGCUGCAAAAGAAGUAGGUAGUUUAACCUUCGGGAGGACGCUUACCACUUUGUGGUUCAUGACUGGGGUGAAGUCGUAACAAGGUAACC
rnacentral:rRNA from 1 species